rnacentral:ncRNA from 1 species
GAUUCUCUGGAGAGCUCCGGGUAAGGCCGGGCGCCGAAGGUGUACGCGUUAAGGGGUCAUCGAGGAAGACUCAAAUAAACGUAAUCUCUCAGGCAAAAGGACAGGGCA